UACGGGGGGGAGCAAGCGUUGUUCGGAUUUACUGGGCGUAAAGGGCGCGUAGGCGGCCACCGCAAGUCGACUGUGAAAUCUCCGGGCUUAACCCGGAAAGGUCAGCCGAUACUGCGGGGCUAGAGUGCAGAAGGGGCAACUGGAAUUCUCGGUGUAGCGGUGAAAUGCGCAGAUAUCAGGAAGAACACCCGUGGCGAAGGCGGCUCUCUGGGACGGUACUGACGCUGAGACGCGAAAGCGUGGGGAGCGAACAGG
rnacentral:rRNA from 1 species